UACGAAGGUCCCAAGCGUUGUUCGGAAUUACUGGGCGUAAAGCGUCUGUAGGCGGCGCGGUAAGUCAGUUGUGAAAUCCCGGGGCUCAACCUCGGAACUGCAGCCGAUACUGCCGCGCUAGAGGGUCGGAGGGGAGUCUGGAAUUCUCGGUGUAGCAGUGGAAUGCGUAGAUAUCGAGAGGAACACUGGUGGCGAAGGAGAGACUCUGGACGACACCUGACGCUGAGAGACGAAGGCCAGGGUAGCGAAAAGG
rnacentral:misc_RNA from 1 species